rnacentral:rRNA from 1 species
UACAGAGGUGCCAAGCGUUAGGCGGGAUCACUGGGCUUAAAGCGCGUGUAGGUGGGUCGUUAAGUGUCCGCGUGAAAUCCCACGGCUCAACCGUGGAACUGCCGGGCAUACUGGCGAUCUUGAGGCAUUCAGGGGCGAGCGGAACAAGUGGUGGAGCGGUGAAAUGCGUAGAUAUCACUUGGAACGCCAAUGGUGAAAACAGCUCGCUGGGAAUGAUCUGACACUGAGACGCGAAAGCCAGGGGAGCGAACGGG